AUUGAAACACUGGUUCCUAUAUGAUCACCAGAGUUAAGCAACAUUGAAACUAAUCAGUACCUAGAUGGGUGACUGUUUGGGAAUACCAGGUGCUGUAAG